GGCUGACACGUGGUGCCUUCAGGCUCUGGGGCCUAGGACCUUUGUGGUAGCAGAGUCAGUGCAGAGAACCAGACAAUACCAGGUUGCUUAUUGAAGGAUGCCAUGUGCUUGCUGGAGGUCUCAGGUGCAACCAAAUUGCUUGCAGCUAGGAGGACCUUGAAGAGAAAUGGAACCAGUCUGCCAAACCAAGAAGGGUUAGCACUUUCGCUAGGAAAGCUGACCACGCACGAACAGAUGAGAACCAAAAUCGAGUGAAGAGGAUUGAAGAUGAACCUACAUUUUAAAAGUUCUUGUCUGCUGGAGGUGGCAUUACCUGUGACCUCGCUUCACUUCUCCAUACAUGGCUGUUAUAGCAGAAAAGCCAGCUUUCUGAAGCACAUUUAAUGACAUAUGAUGAGACUUAUGUGAUGUGAGACCUGAGAAAACUAUGAUAGAAAGAAGCAACUCAAGCUGCAAGGAUAUUCCUCAUGUAUCAUGCAAGGAUAUUCCUCAUGUAUCAUGUUGCUCUGCUCCUGGGUCCAAGCUAUUCUCCUGCCUCAGCCUCCCAAGAAGCUGAAACUACAGGAACACACAACUACCUGGCUUGCAAAUACCACUGCUAAUAAGAAGAUAUUGUAAAUCUGAUACCUAAGAGA